AUGGAUGAUGGAUGGAUGAACGUUGGGUUGGGGGAGGAAGGAAGGAAGGGAGGGAGAAAGGAGGGAAUACUGGCUCCAUCUUUGAGAGCUCUGGUGGGCAGGGCAGAAACAGGCCACAGUGCUCAACCUGGACACCUUCACAAAGGGUCCCGAGUCACUCUUGUGGCUCAGAUUGCUCUUAGGACCUGGAGGGACAGACCAGAAUCAGUGUCCCCUUCUUUACCCCCAAGUUCCUUACUGUCUCCCCAAGCCUGGGAGCAGUCUAUCCCACAACCUACCAUCUCCCUUACUCAUCCCUCUUCCACACCCUCCCCUUUCCAGCCCCUUCUCCCCUACCUGUUCUUCCUGAGUGUUUGAGGGGAGAGAGAGACCCACAUCUCCCCAAAGAGAUGAGCUUUUGGGGCACAACAUCCCGCCGUAGGCCACCUCACCUGACAACAUCUCCUACCUGGCCCCUUGCAGAAUCCCAGGCAGAAUUAGCAACAGGAAAGCAAAACCCCAGGAGAGACACUCUACUAUAUAUACUCUUCUAUAGAUUCUAUUUCUAUUGUAUAUUCACUCUGUACAUGUGGGUGUAAAUGCUGUUAAAUGACAAACCCAAUAUUAUACUGUGGCUGGUGGACUAUUUUCAUCCUCAGUGCUGUACAGAUCUAUUUUCAUUGUAUAUUUGAUAUAUUUUUAAUUUUGUAGCGUGUGGCUGGGCCAGGCCCCAGCGGGAGGGGCUGAGCUGGGGCUGUGUGCUUGCUAGGUGUGGGCUCACUAGUGCUUGAUGUAGCCUUUUGCUGUGUCUUCGCUGUGUGUUAGACGUAGGGCCCAGAGCUUGGGGCAUGUGUGUACGUGUGUGUGUGUGUGUGUGUGUGUGUGUGUGUGUGUGUGUAUGGUGUGCACAUAUGUGGGUGUGGGUGUGUGUAGCGUGCUGAUCUGUGACUCCCAAUGUUCACCAUCUUCCUGAAGACCGUGGUCCCUUCCCCUGCCUCCUCUUCCUCCUCUCGGCUCUAUCAGCAGGCAGCCUCAGGGCCGGCAGGGUGCCUUGGGAGCCCCCUGCUGUGGGGAAAGGCAUGUGUUUCUUGCUAGUGACUCAUUGCCUUCACACCACUGGGUUUGCCAGAAACAGGGAAGGAGGGCGUUGGAAAAAAAAAUCUUCAAAUUUAUUUACCAGUCAGCUUCUUGCUGUUCCCAGUAGAAUCAAAGCUCUUCUGCAGAGGAAAAGUAUUGGGAUUUUUCAGAUGGCAAGGCCUCGAGAGGGAUCUCAUUGAACUGCUGCAUUUGCCUUGACACAGUCCCGACAGUUUGGAAGGGGCCGCCUGCCCCCUCCCCACUGUGCUUCUGACGCCUUUGGAGUCAAGGGCAGGUGUGGUCACCUGAUGAGCUAAGACCCAGCCCCAGAAUCCUGGAGGAACAGGAGGCAGCAGGAGAGGACCACGUCCCCAAGCCCCUGCACAGGGUCCCCACCCCCACUGGCUUUGGUGCUGUCCACACAGUGCCCGCCAGGAGGCAGAGAGAACUCCAGGGCAGGGAUGUGCCUGAAAGAGUCAACAGUCCCCUGAUCCCCUACCCGUGCCUGUCCUCCAGCCCCAUCACCAGCUUCUUGCUCAGGGAGCCUUCCGCCCUCUGCACUGAGGCAACUUGAAGCCCGAGGCCCAGAUGGGGGCUGAACAGGGAGGGUACAUGAGUUAAUGCCAGUGAGGUCGGCUUAUGCCCUCCAGCAAUACGUCUGCAGGGCCUGCUGCUUUCCCAGUGCCAGGAGAAUCCCUGCUCUGAGUUAGCCUGUGUGGGUCAUGAGGCUGGGGCCCGGGAGCCAUGGCCCCAGGCACUGCAAUAUUGCCAGGCAGGGGACUGCUUUUCUGCCCUUCCUCCCCCCAACCCCUCAACCCCCUCCCCCAGAGUACUCCCCACUGUGAAGAGAGCCAACUGAAUCAGUUAGAUUGCACCUGGCUCCCUGAGCAUCCCUGGGUCCUUCAAAUAGGCCCUGAGAUGUGAGGUCUGCUGCUUCACUGGGGUCUGAUGACUGCGGCUGGGGAGGGGACCUCCCAGGGCCCCUUCUCAUUGAAAGCUCUGCUCUGUACAGACCCGAGCACAUACACCGGGCGUCCCUUUGGGUUCUGGCGUAAGUUCAGAACAAUUCAAGACCACGUGUCCCAUGGCUGGUCAGAGCCCUGGGUCCAAACCACUCAGCCCAAGGGAGGGGAGGAGGCAUUGUCUCCCUAGACCCCUCUUCCUCUCUCCCCCGCCAUGGUGUACAAUAAAGUGUCUGUUCUUACCAAA